rnacentral:rRNA from 1 species
UAGUCAUACGCUCGUCUCAAAGAUUAAGCCAUGCAUGUGUAAGUAUAAAUAAUUCUACUUUGAAACUGCGAAUGGCUCAUUAUAUCAGUUAUAGUUUAUUAGAAAUAGUGUACUACUUGGAUAACCGUAGUAAUUCUAGGGCUAAUACAUGAGUAAAUCCUCGACUUUMGAAGAGGUGUGUUUAUUAGUAUGAAAACCAUAUGCUUUUGCAUGAUAGUGAGUAAUAAUAACCUUUCAUAUCGCCUGUUUUAAAUAGCGAUAGUUCUUUCAAGUUUCUGCCCUAUCAGCUUUCGAUGGUAGUGUAUUGGACUACCAUGGCAGUAACGGGUAACGAAGAAUUUGGGUUCGAUUUCGGAGAGGGAGCCUGAGAGAUGGCUACCACAUCCAAGGAAGGCAGCAGGCGCGUAAAUUACCCAAUCCUGACAUAGGGAGGUAGUGACAAUAAAUCACAAUGCGGGACUAUUUAGUUUUGCAAUUGGAUUGAGAACAAUGUACAACACUUAUCGAUAAACAAUUGGAGGGCAAGUCUGGUGCCAGCAGCC